UACGGGGGGGGCAAGCGUUGUUCGGAAUUACUGGGCGUAAAGGGCUCGUAGGCGGCCAACUAAGUCAGACGUGAAAUCCCUCGGCUUAACCGGGGAACUGCGCCUGAUACUGGAUGGCUUGAGAUUGGGAGAGGGAUGCGGAAUUCCAGGUGUAGCGGUGAAAUGCGUAGAUAUCUGGAGGAACACCGGUGGCGAAGGCAGCUCUCUGGGACGGUACUGACGCUGAGACGCGAAAGCGUGGGGAGCGAACGAGG
rnacentral:rRNA from 1 species